UAUAAUUUUCCCUAUUCUUCCUGCUAGGUAUGGCUAAAAAUUCUGGACACUAUAAAACAAACACAGCUGACCUCCCCUAAAAGAAUGGCUAUGGGGAAUUUCCCUAAACAGAAGGCAGCAACGAAAGAAGAAAUCUUGGAACAUCAAGAGGAACAAUUUGGUGCUAGAGCUGUUAGGUGGGACAGAACAAGGUCUUGCAGGCCUUUGGACAGAGAGCAAGCAAACGAAGAAACACCCAUCAGUGUAUACGAUUAUUCCAACCCAGCAGGGCAGGA